GACGAACGCUGGCGGCGUGCUUAACACAUGCAAGUCGAACGGAAAGGCCCUGCUUGCAGGGUACUCGAGUGGCGAACGGGUGAGUAACACGUGGGUGAUCUGCUCUUCACUUCGGGAUAAGCCUGGGAAACUGGGUCUAAUACCGGAUAGUAGCCAUUUUUAGUGUGAUGGUUGGAAAGUUUUUUCGGUGUAGGAUGAGCUCGCGGCCUAUCAGCUUGUUGGUGGGGUAAUGGCCUACCAAGGCGGCGACGGGUAGCCGGCCUGAGAGGGUGGACGGCCACAUUGGGACUGAGAUACGGCCCAGACUCCUACGGGAGGCAGCAGUGGGGAAUAUUGCACAAUGGGCGCAAGCCUGAUGCAGCGACGCCGCGGGGGGGAUGACGGCCUUCGGGUUGUAAACUCCUUUCGCUAGGGACGAAGCUUUUUGUGACGGUACCUAGAUAAGAAGCACCGGCUAACUACGUG
rnacentral:rRNA from 1 species